GACAGAGAAGGAGAGCUGAGGACCUGCGGUAGGACCCAGGGGACAGAGGCUUCAGUGGGAGGGCCAGGAUAAAGCCACUCCAAGAGAAAGAGAGCAGGAGUUCCCAGCGGCAGUUCUGCAAGGGCUCGAGCGCUGGGGACACACGCAGCAGACGGCCCCAGACGCCUCAAGGCUGCGCGCGAAGACACGGCGCAGGCAGACGCACAGACGGGGCUCCCCCACCCUGGACACGGCGGCAGCGAGUUGGGAAACCCAGGAAACCCCGGGUUCCCGUCAGAAGCCUCCCGGCACCCAGUCCCCUCCCGUAGCGCUUAUCUGGGCAGGACAUGGGGCCCCGACGCCUGCGGGAACCAGGGGCUCCCCAAAAUCCCCGGGGAAAGGGUUACCUCGCAGCCAGGGGACGCAACCCGUUCGGGGUACCCGCGAGCACAACGUCUGCCCUAACCCGGCGCCCUGGUGCUGUUCGGCAUUAGAGUGCGGGGUCCCGGGAGAGGAGCCGUCUGGGGGGCCGCGUCUCAGGGGCGCGGGGCGACGGCAGCGGCCAUAGCGAGUCACGUGCGGAGGCUGAAACUUUACCCGGAGCCCCAGACUAUAGGGGCGGAGGGUACGGACGAGAGGUGGGGGAAGGCCCUCUCCCUCAGGCCCGCCCCUGCCCGCCCACCGACCAAUCAUCAGUCAGGGGCGGAUCUACAGGAUCACCCCCGCCCCCACCUCUCCUUAACAGACCCCGGGAAGGGCGAGUCUUAAAGGAGCCGCUCCUAGCAGAAGGCUGGACCGUGGGAAUCUGGGAGAAUCCCUCCCUCAAACCCGAACCGAAAAUUCAGAGCGAGGAGGGGGUGAUGUUCUGCGGAAAGAAUGAAAAUAGCACUCGGUGAAGACCGCAGCGUGUGGUAUCCUACACUCCUUUCCCCCGCGACCACACAUACUCCCACACCUAAACCCGAGAAGAGAGGCGGCGGCAGAACAUGGAAGUGAGUGCGGUGACUCCUGCCCUAGCUGUCAAGCCCCUGAAUCCUAUAAUUAUAAUCCUCUUCUAGGGACCAGCUGGAACUGAGAGCUGUGUGACCUUGACCAAGUCACUUCCCUUCCCUGGAUCUUAAUUAUCUCAGCUGAAAAAAAAAAAAAAAAAAAAAAAAAAAAAA